AGCUUGGCUGGCCCCUGGGGCACAGCUCUGGGGCUUGUCAGAGGGAGUUAGCCUCACAAUAGCCUGCCUGGGUCCCAUCCAGCAGGCCUGGCUGGCCCUGCCACUGGCCACCAGGAGUCUGAGUAGAGUCCAGUCCAAGCCAGCCCUAGGCCAUGGGAUUUAGAGUGCAGAGCCUCUUGAAACAUGGACUGCUGGGGUCCUAGGAAAGGAGGGGGACCAUGAAUAGUGGAGCUGACUGCUAGGGAGCCAACCCAGUUGCAAGGCGAGGAGAGGGAGUCCUGAGCGCUGAUCUAGAAACUCAAGCAGGUACCCCUUACCCAGCCUAGGGGAACACUGAGGGAAGAAGGCUGCAUUCUUGGGCACCCGGGCUCAGCCGCUGGAUACCUGGAACUCCGGGAGAUUCCAAACACUGUUCAGGGGCCAGGGUAGGGUCACACCUGCCCAGGUCUUCCAAUGAGGAUCCAGAAGAGACCAACAGCUCCAGUCUGUACAACAAGAUGAGACUGAAGUUCAGAGAGAGUAGGUGACUUGCUCAGAGUGACACAGCAGGAAGUGCUGAGCCGGGAACUGGAGCUGCCGCCCAGCCCUCAUCACUGGCAUCCUUCGGUUCUCAGCUUAGAUGGUGCCAUCACAGAUUCCCGGAAUGUCAGCACUGUGAGAGACGUCAGAGAUCAUCCAGCCCAGCCCCUCGUCUGGCAGAGGAGGAUGCCCAGGGCAGUGGUAUGUCCAAGGUCACACCUUGGCUUGGAGCCCAACUCCAGGGUUCUUUUCAGGGCCAUCUGUAGUUCACUCUACUCGCCUCCCAGGCGCUUAUCUAAGUGUGAAUUUGCAGCCUGCAGUCCCUCAUGCCGCCUGGACCACCUCAGCUCCAGUGGAGACAUCUGCCCUCCCAGGCAAUCUUGAAGGCAGAGCAAGCUGUGGGAUGGUAACAGCAGCUAGCUUUGCCACCAGGAGGAGGAAGCCUGCCUGAGAAAGAAGCCACACAAUGAGAAAGAGGGCCCCAGAUGACAGUAUACUGAUGCCACUGUUGACAAAUGUCUGGGUGCACACACGCCUGAAGCCCAGCUCAACCCCCUGGGCUUUCUUGUUUUCUCAAGCUGAUUUGGGUUGCAUUUCUUCACUUGCAUCUGAAAUAAUCCUGUCUUAGUCACUAAUCUGCAUCAUCUCCAAUAAUAAAUCC
ensembl:lncRNA